UUGUUCAAAUUCCCAAUAGUUUUCUCUGAAUCCAUUAGGUCACUAAGCAUCCAAAUCUCAAAUGACAUCUCCAUGUCAAUUUUGACAGAGUAGCCAUGGAUACCUUCGUACCUGUUGUUUGUAAAAAUCAUUGGUCAAGAUUCAAGCCAAGGACUUUUAUUUCUUGGAAGAAAAUGACAAGGCAAUGGCAAGUGUUGACCAUUUAACACAGGGAAAGCAUAGAGGCAUAUCAGGAACUCCACUGAAAAAGGAAGGGCUUAUCUUGCCAGUCUUCCCAUAUCCUACACAGAAGUUCCUGGAGACUGCUCCUGUGUAGACAGGAUGAUUAACUCAGCAAUUACUGCAGGCUUGAUGAUAUGUGAAAAGUGAAAAAAGGAGUGCCUCUGAUUCCCAUGUUCAACAAGCUUAUCAUCUCCCUGGUGAGAUCAAAAGACCAGAUAAGGAACAAGAAGAUACUGAGGAUUUAAAUGAUGAGGCACCAACUAUUUCAGCAAAGAUCGAGCAAACCUUAUUGAAGAAGUGAGAUUUAAAUCAGGCCUUGAAAGAAGACUGUACUUUGAAAAUGCAAAAGAAAACUCACUACAGGGUAUAGAGAAUAAAAUGUAAUAUUUUGUGUUAUUUAAAAAAAUAUGAAGUAUAUAUCUGUGUUUUAAUUUCCUUGUGCUUGAAGAAAGAAAUGCAAGAAUCUAAAAAAGCAGCUAAUCAUGAG
rnacentral:lncRNA from 1 species